UGGCAAUUUAUUGGAAGGACAUCAGUCAGAAUACCCUGACAGAGGAUGGGAAAGUGCAAAUGCUGAAGAUACAAUAUUGAGGAAAAAAUUUUAAAUACCAAGUCUCUCUUUGUAUAUAGAAGUAUUGAAGAAGGAAUUUCUCCUGUGACAGAAAAAGACUUGAAGAAUAGGUAUGUAGUCUGAGAUCAGCAGAUCAACUCUUGGAAAACUGGUGCUGUCAUGUAGGAUCUGCACUGAAAAAGGAAGAGAUUUACUGUCAGCAUACGUGCAAUCAACAUAAGGUGAAAUUAUUCAGAUUUCUUCAGAUCUUUAUAUGGAUAGAUUGUUUCCUGCAAGCUGUGCCUCAAGUGUAAAACUUCAGACUUCACGAAGCCUGUGCUGCAAUGACAAUGGAUGUCCCUUAAAGCUUUUAUGAGGACAUUUCUGCUGUGCCUCUGCUGGCAGGUGACAUGCAUUAUAUUUCAAAGGCUGCUUCAGGUGAUGGAUCCUGCCUUUCCCUCUAGAGAACUUGUUCCUCAGUGUGUGCUGAUGUUUCACUAGUGAAUUGAUCCAGUGUGGAGUCAGACUGAAAAAUGUAACCUCUCCAACUAAGGAACCCACUGUGCUCCACUGGACCAGAAUUGGACAUCCAGCCAGAAGAACUGCUUCAAAAGAAUGUAGAUGAUUGCAGCUUUCAGUCAUUAAAGACAGGCUGUGCAUAACUUUGGGAUUGGGUGAUCGCCCAUUUGGCCUAUUUACUGUUCUCUGAAAUGUAUUAAGCUGGCAUUUGUCUAAGCCAGGUGAGAGAAGAGAAAGGAAAGGUGGAUGGUUUAUCAAAAUUAGUUCCUUGUCUUGAAGGGGCUGAGUGACUCUUAGAACAGCAGCACAGGAUUUUGCUUAUAUGUGUGCUGCAGC